rnacentral:rRNA from 1 species
CCUACGGGAGGCAGCAGUGAGGAAUAUUGGUCAAUGGCCGGAAGGCUGAACCAGCCAUGCCGCGUGAAGGUCAGUGCCCUAUGGGCGUUAAACUUCUUUUGUGCGGGAGCAAUAAUGGUCACGUGUGGCCAGACGAGAGUACCGUACGAAUAAGCAUCGGCUAACUCCGUGCCAGCAGCCGCGGUAAUACGGGGGAGGCAAGCGUUAUCCGGAUUUAUUGGGUUUAAAGGGUGCGUAGGCUGUGAGGUAAGUCAGCGGUGAAAUGCCCCCGGUCAACGGGGUGAAGUGCCAUUGAUACUGCCUGGCUGGAAUGCGGAUGCCGUGGGAGGAAUGUGUGGUGUAGCGGUGAAAUGCAUAGAUAUCACACAGAACACCGAUUGCGAAGGCAUCUCACGAAUCCGCGAUUGACGCUGAUGCACGAAAGCGUGGGUAUCAAACAGGAUUAGAUACCCCAGUAGUC